GGAGGCAGCAGUGGGGAAUNUUGGACAAUGGGGGAAACCNUGAUCCAGCAAUNCCGCGUGUGUGAAGAAGGCNUGUGGGUUGUAAAGCUCUUUCGGGGGGGAGGAAAAGCUGGGAGAUAAUACCUUUCAGUGUUGACGUUACCCAAAGAAGAAGCACCGGAUAACUUUGUGCCAGCAGCCGCGGUAAUACAGAGGGGGCAAGCGUUAAUCGGAAUUACUGGGCGUAAAGCGCACGUAGGUGGUUUGGUAAGUCGGAUGUGAAAGCCCCGGGCUCAACCUGGGAAUUGCAUNNGAUACUGCCNGGCUAGAGUAUGGUAGAGGGGGGUGGAAUUCCCGGUGUAGCGGUGAAAUGCGUAGAUAUCGGGAGGAAUACCAGUGGCGAAGGCGGCCCCCUGGACCAAUACUGACACUGAGGUGCGAAAGCGUGGGUAGCAAACAGGAUUAGAUACCCUGGUAGUCCACGCCGUAAACGA
rnacentral:rRNA from 1 species